CCCUUAGAUGUUCUGGGCUGCACGCGCGCUACACUGAUGCAUCCAACAAGUUUUUUCCUUGUUCGAGAGGACUAGGUAAUCUUAUGAGAAUGCAUCGUGAUGGGGAUAGAUUAUUGCAAUUAUUAAUCUUCAACGAGGAAUUCCUAGCAAGCGCGAGUCAUCAGCUCGUGCUGAUUACGUCCCUGCCCUUUGUACACACCGCCCGUCGCUGCAACUGAUUGGGUGACCUGGUGAACAUCUUGGACCGGCCCACUCAAUUUCGAGAGGACUGGAAAAGGCCGUAAAUCAGGUACAUCUAGAAAUUGCAAAAGUCGUAACA
rnacentral:rRNA from 1 species